CCUACGGGAGGCAGCAGUGAGGAAUAUUGGUCAAUGGGCGCGAGCCUGAACCAGCCAAGUAGCGUGAAGGAUGACUGCCCUACGGGUUGUAAACUUCUUUUAUAAAGGAAUAAAAUGAGGCACGUGUGCCUUUUUGUAUGUACUUUAUGAAUAAGCAUCGGCUAACUCCGUGCCAGCAGCCGCGGUAAUACGGAGGAUGCGAGCGUUAUCCGGAUUUAUUGGGUUUAAAGGGUGCGUAGGCGGACUUUUAAGUCAGCGGUGAAAGGCCCUGGCUCAACCAUAGGAUUGCCGUUGAAACUGGCAGGCUUGAGUAUUCUUGAGGCAGUCGGAAUGCGUGGUGUAGCGGUGAAAUGCUUAGAUAUCACGCAGAACCCCGAUUGCGAAGGCAGCCUGCCAAGCCCUGACUGACGCUGAGGCACGAAAGCGUGGGGAUCAAACAGGAUUAGAUACCCGUGUAGUC
rnacentral:rRNA from 1 species